UCGAGGAUCUUCGGCAAUGGGCGCAAGCCUGACCGAGCGACGCCGCGUGUGCGACGAAGGCCUUCGGGUUGUAAAGCACUGUCGAGAGGGAGAAAAGCCGCAAGGUUUGAUCUAUCUCUGGAGGAAGCACGGGCUAAGUUCGUGCCAGCAGCCGCGGUAAGACGAACCGUGCGAACGUUGUUCGGAAUCACUGGGCUUAAAGGGCGCGUAGGCGGGCGGCCGCGUCCGGGGUGAAAUGCCACGGCUCAACCGUGGAACGGCCUCGGAUACGGGCGGCCUCGAGGGAGGUAGGGGCAUCGGGAACUGUGAGUGGAGCGGUGAAAUGCGUUGAUAUUCACAGGAACUCCGGUGGCGAAGGCGCGGUGCUGGACCUCAUCUGACGCUGAGGCGCGAAAGCCAGGGGAGCGAACGGGAUUAGAUACCCCCGUAGUCC
rnacentral:rRNA from 1 species